AAGCAAUGUAAAUCUAUUCCUAAAUAAUGUUAAACUUCUCGACCUAAGAUUCCAAGGAUGGUCAAAUGAAGAUCAUUUUUCUUUGAGAAAAUUGUGAAACAGAGGAAUCGAAAUAUAAGAUGAGGCAAUGAAAGUGAUUCUAAAAGAAGCAUUUGGGGAUUCAUUCAAUAACUAUUGGGAAUUGGGUAAUUCAAGUAAUGGAUUCGGAAAGUUUCAAUUGAUUUUUGGGGAAGCAUUUGUAAGUUGCCCAAUUUCCCUUGCCUCUAAAUUCAUUGUUGUUGAGGAGUGGAGAUUCGAAUUCAAUCAAUUUCUUAUUUGUAGGUGGAUUGUGUAUCAAGCAACUUCAGUAAGAAAUUUAUUUGUUGAACCAUUUAUGUGUUAAUUUGCUAUCUGAUGAACUUCUGACAUUUUGAAACAUGACUUCAAAAUGUUGCUCCUUUUGAAUUGUAACUUAGAUUAAUGCAAUGAGA
rnacentral:lncRNA from 1 species